rnacentral:misc_RNA from 1 species
AUUAUAGCAAGUGGAAGCAGUUGGAAGCCGCUCGACAUCCUGUCCUCCUAUUGAAGCCCAUAUAGGUACGUCACACGAAACCUUAUGGAUGGUAAAAGCUGGUUGCAGGUAUUUGAAUCCAAGUAAUGGAGCUCGAGAACAACUGGUGACAAAUUUAAGAAGCAAACAACGAUCUUUUGGUUCAAAUCCUUUCAUAACCUCCCAGAAAAUACUAAUUGUUCGGCUGCCCUCUGUGUAACCACCUGUAUAUCGUGUAUUCUUCCUCAAAUCAUCAACGUCAAUAUCAUG